rnacentral:rRNA from 1 species
UACGUAGGGAGCAAGCGUUGUCCGGAAUCCUUGGGCGUAAAGCGCGCGUAGGUGGCCUCGUAAGUCCGCUGUGAAAGUCAAAGGCUCAACCUUUGAAAGCCGGUGGAUACUGCAGGGCUAGAGUACGGAAGAGGCGAGUGGAAUUCCUGGUGUAGCGGUGAAAUGCGUAGAGAUCGGGAAGAACACCCGUGGCGAAAGCGCUCUACUGGACUGCAACUGACACUCAGGGACGAAAGCUAGGGGAGCGAAUGGG